rnacentral:rRNA from 1 species
GGAAUAUUGGACAAUGGGGGCAACCCUGAUCCAGCCAUGCCGCGUGUGUGAAGAAGGCCUGCGGGUUGUAAAGCACUUUCAGUAGAGAAGAAAAGCCUAAGGUUAAUAACCUUGCUGUUUUGACGUUACCGACAGAAUAAGCACCGGCUAACUCUGUGCCAGCAGCCGCGGUAAUACAGAGGGUGCAAGCGUUAAUCGGAAUUACUGGGCGUAAAGCGCGCGUAGGUGGUUGGUUAAGUUGGAUGUGAAAGCCCCGGGCUCAACCUGGGAACUGCAUCCAAAACUGGCCGACUAGAGUACAGUAGAGGGUGGUGGAAUUUCCUGUGUAGCGGUGAAAUGCGUAGAUAUAGGAAGGAACACCAGUGGCGAAGGCGACCACCUGGACUGAUACUGACACUGAGGUGCGAAAGCGUGGGGAGCAAAC